CUCUCUCUCUCUCUCGGCUGACAGCCGCCGCUGUCCCUCACCGGCGACAUGGUCGCAGUAACAGCAACGUCGCCGCCAUGACUUCCCCUCCUCAUCUCCAAUCUCGGCGUCUCUCUCUCCCUCUCCUCUCUCAAAAACACGCCACAACCGAAAACACCAAAAUCUGCACUCUCUCAUCUCGAAUGGACGACGAGCGGCGAACAGCCGCCGCCACCGCUGUGAACGCCAUCCACCACCGCCUGCUCUUUCUCUAUCUUCAUCUCACCCUUUUGUCUCUCAUCUCUCAAAUCCCCAAUUUCUAAAACCCUAAAUUCUCCUUCAUCUCAAAUCUAGGGAGUCAUAUUUCUCUGUUUUCUCUCAUCUCUGUCUUCUGGAGCUUAUCAUUGUGUUUGGAUUCGAUGAUGGAAAUGAUUGUUGAUAAUUUGGAGAAGUCUUCGAUAAAGUUGGAGAAGCACAACUUCAACGAAUUUGGAGAAUAUGGAAAACCACAUCUUCACCGCCAAAGAUUUGCGUUGUUUUCUCUCUAAAUUGGUAUGUGGACCCAUGGUGGCGGUGGAGGUGCCAUACUGCCAUGGUCAAAGAUGAUUGGAUUCUAUGAUUGAAUACAUAUUUAGAUUUAG
rnacentral:lncRNA from 1 species